rnacentral:rRNA from 1 species
GGGAACCUUUAGAUUCGUCUGAAGGGGAGAGUGGCGAACGGGUGAGUAACACGUUGGUGACCUACCCCAGAGAGGGGGAUAACCAUUGGAAACGAUGGCUAAUACCCCGGAUGUCCCUACAGUUAGAGAGUAGUGACUAAAGCUCCGGCGCUCUGGGAGGGGCCUGCGGCCCAUCAGCUAGUUGGUAGGGUAACGGCCUACCAAGGCGAAGACGGGUAGGGGGCGUGAGAGCGUGACCCCCCACACUGGUACUGACACACGGACCAGAUACCUACGGGUAGCAGCAGCAAGGAAUAUUGCCCAAUGGACGAAAGUCUGAGGCAGCAACGCCGCGUGGAGGAUGAAGGCCUUCGGGUUGUAAACUCCUUUUCUGGGGGAAGAGAAAGGACGGUACCCCAGGAAUAAGUCUCGGCUAACUACGUGCCAGCAGCCGCGGUAAAACGUAGGAGGCGAGCGUUAUCCGGAUUUACUGGGCGUAAAGCGCGUGCAGGCGGUUUCUUAAGUCGGACGUGAAAGCUCCUGGCUCAACUGGGAGAGGUCGUUCGAAACUAGGGAACUUGAGGAUGGUAGAGGAGAGUGGAAUUCCCGGUGUAGUGGUGAAAUGCGUAGAUAUCGGGAGGAACACCAGUGGCGAAGGCGGCUCUCUGGGCUAUUCCUGACGCUAAGACGCGAAAGCUAGGGGAGAGAACGGGAUUAGAAACCCCGGUAUUCCUAGCCGUAAACGAUGUCAACUAGGUGUAGGGGGUAUCCAACCCCCCUGUGCUGUAGCUAACGCGUUAAGUUGACCGCCUGGGGACUACG